UAGCCUAAGGGUAUAGUGUUUAUAAAGUAUACAGUAGUGUACAGUCAAGUCCUAGGCUUUACAUUCACUCACCACUCUGUCACUGACUCACCCAGAGCAACUUCCAGUCUUGUAACCUCCAUUCAUGGUAAGUGGCCUAUACAAGUGUACUAUUUUUUAUCUUUUACUCUGUAUUUUUACUGUACCUUUUCUAUGUUUAGUUAUGUUUAGAUUCACAAAUAUUUCCCAUUUUGUUGUAAUUGCCUACAGUAUUCAGUACAGUAACAUGCUGUACCAGUUUGUAGCCUAGGAGCAAUAGACUCUACCAUAUAGCCUACAUCUGCAAUAGGCUACACUAUCUAGGUUUGUGUAAGUUCACUCUAUGAUGUUCACCCAAUGAAGAAAUCACCCGAGACACAUUUCUCAGAACGUAUCCCUGUCAUUAAGUGAAACAUGACUGUAGUUAAGUGAGGUUAUAAUGGUUUAGAAUGGGUCCUAAAUCCAAUGACUGAUGUCUUUUUAAUAGGCCAGUAAAAACAGAGAGAGACACAGAGGUCCACAUAGGAACACCAUGUGAAGAUGGUGGAAGAGAUUGAAAUGAUGCAUCUACAAGCCAAGGAAUGCCAAGACUUAUGGAACGAAGUCAUGAGUAGAAGCCAGGGAGGCAUGAAAGAAAAAGUCUUGUGGCACCCACACCGAGAAGAUGCUAAGCAGAGAUGUGAGGAAACAAAGCUGAGAAUUGAGGGACAAUCCAAGGGAAAGAAGUGGACUGGGAAAUCGGUUCUCCUGGCCUGGAAAAGACACGUCACCACAGGAAAAAAUCUGGCUCCAGAGAACAAUUUAUUUUAAUAUGCCUCAUUUUGCUAUUUCAUUAAUUCAGAAAUACUUGGCCUUUUUUUCUACUGUUACUGUGGAGGCAUAAUAGGAAAUGUAAACAUACUGGUACAAAAUAAGAAAUAACUUAUUUAUAUGGCAGGAAGACUAGAAAAAUCACAGCCAUUUUCUUCUUCUUACUAUAAGCUCUAAUUUUCCAUGAUACUGCUCUACAUACAGGAUCUUUAUUUAAAAAAACCUGAAGUGAUGAUAUUACAUUGCCACAUCAACAUUUGAAAUUAAAUGAUCAAUGGGUGAUAUAAAAAUGGCCAGCACAUGGUACAUUUUGUAAUACUUUAAGUCACAUUGUUGAGAUCCUUGAUAAAGAUAUGAUUUGCUUUUAAUCUGGCACCAUCAUUUAUUUUGGGCAAAGCUAGAAAACAAAUAACAUAAUUUGCAUAAUGAAACCAUUGAGAGAAAAAUCACUGUAAUUUGUCAGAGGUAUCUGCACCAUUUUGACUUACAGUUUAAAUUCAUUCAAGUUUAUUUCUUUCCUUACCCCAACUAAACAAUGCUUUUGAUUUAUUCUUGCCAUUUAGUGUCAUAUAAAAUAAAGUGUUCCACUAGGAGGAGAAAUAAUUUG
rnacentral:lncRNA from 1 species